GGACCCGCACAAGCAGUGGAGCAUGUGGUUUAAUUCGACGCAACGCGAAGAACCUUACCAGCGUUUGACAUGGGAAGUGCCGGUUACAGAAUGGUAACCUUCAGUUCGGCUGGCUUCCGCACAGGUGCUGCAUGGCUGUCGUCAGCUCGUGUCGUGAGAUGUUGGGUUAAGUCCCGCAACGAGCGCAACCCUUAUCGUUAGUUACUAACAGUUCGGCUGAGGACUCUAGCGAAACUGCCGGUGAUAAGCCGGAGGAAGGUGGGGAUGACGUCAAGUCCUCAUGGCCCUUACACGCUGGGCUACACACGUGCUACAAUGGUAACUACAACGGGACGCAAUACCGCGAGGUGGAGCAAAUCUCUUAAAGCUUGUCUCAGUUCGGAUAGGAGUCUGCAACUCGACUCCUUGAAGUUGGAGUCGCUAGUAAUCG
rnacentral:rRNA from 1 species